UGCACUAUAGUUUCAGGGAUUUAUUCACCCCAGCUGAAUUCCACCUUCUAUUUUGUCCCAUAACUGCUUUUCUCCUAUUUCAAUCCAUAACUCAAUAACUCCUGGUCUAAUUUAUCAAAGCAGGUUGUAACUAGUGAAAUAUAAACAGUUGAAACUUCUGUAGGUACUGUAUUAUCUUCAUAUCUGAAUAGUUUUAUGGCAAAAGUUUCUUCUACGCUCAUAUCUCAUGCUGCAUUGCUGAGUCCAAACAUGCUAAGUCAGGCUGUAGGGGGAUACUUUGUAUGUUUACACCUUGCUUUGAUCACCUGAUCUUUGUCAGUUGGGGUAUGAGGGAAUCUAAGAACCUUUAGUAGCCAAUGUCAAGACCACAUGUUUGAUACGUUUUCCCUGCAAAAGGAAAACAUAUUUUAGGGUGUGUUUAUGUAGGCUUUUUUGACCUUUAAUUCAUUUCCAGUGGUUCCAUGUCUCACAAAGAUAUAAAAGGUUCAAAGGUAACUUUCUAAAACCUUCUGUACUUAUUGUGAACCUGUGUAACGCUGUUGCUACUUCUAGCAUGUCACUCUAGUUUAAAUUACUUCCCGAAAUCCUUAGUCAUUUAUGGGUAAAGAAUAGGUUAUGAUAAUAUUAGAUGUAUUUGUUCUGAUCUCUACUUGGAGUCAGCUUAUGUUUCUAAGAAAUGCAUUUGCCGAAAGACUGCUUUUAUAGAAGUGUUUUUAUUUUGUAUUUGUAAAGCCCUGUCCUAUUAGAUUACUUUACACUGGUUAAAAACAAGUAUAUUUUAUUUUUCUAGUGAACAUGAAGUAUAACAUAAGACUUUGCAUGGAUUUCUAGGUCAAGCUGUAUGGUAUUGAAAUCCUAGAUGAUGACUGAACCUUGRAAAGAAGCUGAGAAGUGGCAAAUACAGUGCAACUAACAUGAGUUAUCAAAGCAAAACAUAAAUUAGAUAUUUCUGUAUACAAUAAGAAAAACAAGCGAGUACUAACACCUUUUUACACGGGAACGUGGAUACAGAGUAAUUGUAUAAUUGAAAAGAACUGUCAUCACCAUUUUCUUUCAGAAAUAAUCCAGUCAAAGGAGCUUAUGUGAGCCUGUCAGCAGUCCCAACAGCCUCCUGUAGGCACUGUUUAACAGAAAUACUGAAGAUUUAUCCCUGUGCAAGACAUCCAAAAGCAUGUGCAAUUUAAAAAUAAUCAAACAUUUUAUCACCAUAAUGAAUUGUACAAAUACAAGUGAAGAACCGCUUAGAGACUGCAAUUUUACAGAUUUAGAUGUAAAAGCACAAGCUAGCAGCAACAUAUCAUUGUAACAAGAAGCACCAUAAAGAAAGAUGGCAAUGGAAAAAAUCAGUCUUCACUACGUGAAGUAGUUUGUUUUGUUCUCAGGUGGAGUUCUCUAUGUCAUGAAAGAGAUGUAUUAUUUGGAAAGAGACCAUUGAGCAACAUAAAGAUUACAGUUUCUACAAUCUGAUUAAAAAUAUUUCCUUCAUGUGAGGAAAGUUUUAAAAUAUUUCAAAUGUAUCAAAGGCUACUAAAAAGAGGAAGAAAAAGAACUUCUGAGUUUGUGCUACUUAGGAAAAGAAUGAGACAGUUUCACUUGCACCUUGGAAUGCAAGAUUUAAAUUGGACUGAAGUGAUACAAUUUUCUCAAAAAAAUCAAGUAGUACUUUCCUAUUAAAAAAAAAAUAAAACAAACUGAAGUAUUUGCAUAGACUGAAAAUCAUUUACAAGGUGCUUUUAAGUCUGGUUUAUCCCACAUAUUUCAGUGGUAAGCAACACUUAAUUUUCAAUUAAAAAUUGAUUGUGAUGAUGUGUGAAGCUAUGGCCCUUUCUUCAUUAGUCUAAUUUUCUUUGGUAUCCCUAAUACACUCUCUAAAGAUCUGAAGAAUUCUGUUUCAGAUUUACUUCACCGUUAAUAGUUUAGCAUAUUCUAUUUACUUUUUCCCUUUGCUUCAGCCAAUAGUGGUAAGACCAACAAACAUUACCUGAGUUUUAACCACCUCAGAAGUAUGAUUUUACUAUGCAUUACAUGUCGAUUGAGGAAAAAAUGUUCAGUAGCAACUAGAAUAAAACAUUAGGAUAAGGAUUUAGAAUAUAAAAUUUAGAAAACUGAAGAGUCAUGU